rnacentral:rRNA from 1 species
GUGCCAGCCGCCGCGGUAAUACGGAAGGUCCGGGCGUUAUCCGGAUUUAUUGGGUUUAAAGGGAGCGCAGGCCGGAGUCAAGCCUGACGUGAAAUGUAGCCGCUCAACGGCUGAAUUGCGUCGCGAACUGGCUUUCUUGAGUGAGUACGACGUCAGCGGAAUUCGUGGUGUAGCGGUGAAAUGCUUAGAUAUCACGAAGAACCCCGAUUGCGAAGGCAGCUGACGAGUCCUUUACUGACGCUAAAGCUCGAAGGUGCGGGUAUCGAACAGGAUUAGAUACCCUGGUAGUCCGCACGGUAAACGAUGGAUGCCCGCUGUCGGCGACAGACUGUCGGCGGCCAAGCGAAAGCCUUAAGCAUCCCACCUGGGGGAGUACGCCGGCAACGUGAAACUCAAAGGAAUUGACGGGGGCCCGCACAAGCGGAGGAACAUGUGGUUUAAUUCGAUGAAUACGCGAGGGAACCUUACCCGGGCUUGAACCUGCAGGAGAACGAUUCAGAGAUGAUGAGGGUCCUUCGGGACUCCUGGUGGAAGGUGCUGCAUUGGUUUGUCGUUCAGCUCGUGCCGUGAGGUGUCGGCUUAAGUGCCAUAACGAGCGCAACCCCUUUCGCCAGUUGCAAUCAGGUGAUGCUGGGCACUCCGGCGAUACUGCCACCGCAAGGUGUGAGAAGGUGGGGAUGACGUCAAAUCAGCACGGCCCUUACGUCCGGGGCUACACACGUGUUACAAUGGGUGGUACAGAGAGUACGAGUGCCGGCAACGUCACUCCAAUCCAUAAAGCCAUCCUCAGUUCGGAUUGGGUUCUGCAACCCGACCCCAUGAAGCUGGAUUCGCUAGUAAUCGCGCAUCAGCCAUGGCGCGGUGAAUACGUUCCCGGGCCUUGUACACACCGCCCGU